rnacentral:rRNA from 1 species
GACGAACGCUGGCGGCGUGCCUAAUACAUGCAAGUUGAGCGCUGAAGGAUGGUACUUGUACCAACUGGAUGAGCAGCGAACGGGUGAGUAACGCGUGGGGAAUCUGCCUUUGAGCGGGGGACAACAUUUGGAAACGAAUGCUAAUACCGCAUAAAAACUUUAAACACAAGUUUUAAGUUUGAAAGAUGCAAUUGCAUCACUCAAAGAGGAUCCCGCGUUGUAUUAGCUAGUUGGUGAGGUAAAGGCUCACCAAGGCGAUGAUACAUAGCCGACCUGAGAGGGUGAUCGGCCACCUUGGGACUGAGACACGGCCCAAACUCCUACGGGAGGCAGAAGUAGGGAAACUUAGGAAAUGGACGAAAGUCUGACCGAGAAACGCCGAGUGAGUGAAGAAGAUUUUCGGAUCGUAAAACUCUGUUGGUAGAGAAGAACGUUGGUGAGAGUGGAAAGGUCAUUAAGUGACGGUAACUAACCAGAAAGGGACGGCUAACUACGUG